CCGUGCUAAGUGGGGAGUUAGCGGCACCCUGUUGCCUGUAAUCCGCUAUAACAGGACUGAAUUCCUCCCUUGAGGCGCAUUUUUGUGAGGCACUGGCCCCGAUAAGCGGUGUUGACGCACAGGUCCUAUGCAACAUGAGCUCGUGAACCGUGUCAGGUUCGGAAGGAAGCAGCACUAAGCGAUGUCUUGUGUGUGCCAUAGGGUUACUUGUGCAGAGCUGGCUGUCCGGAAACCGCUCAUGAAAAUGUUUCGAUUGGGAGGUGCACGG
rnacentral:SRP_RNA from 1 species